rnacentral:lncRNA from 1 species
CCUCGACUUCGACCCCUUCAGAAUAUACCUUCAGGAUUUCUACAUUCAACUCAUCGGAUGCUCGGUAUUCGGUCUGAAUCUGCUUAUGCAAUUCUUCGGUCAAAGGAGGACCCAACUCCUUCAAGGCCUUCAGCUUAUCUUAAAGCUUCCGGCGUCUGACCAUUUCUUUAUCUUCACGGGCCUUCGCCUGAAGAUCAUCCACUUGUAUCGCCAAGCUCUGGUUGGCUAUGGCAAGUUCUUCAUUGUUAACCCUUAGAACCUCGUUCUUU